UACCAUAAGUACACAGAGAAUGGAUUCUGAAUGAAAGAGUCUAGAGCUUGAAAGAGAACUGAAAUUUAAAAAUAAAAAUUAAAACGUAUGAAAUGAGCAGCAUAACGUUGGACUAGGCGAGUAUUUCCUGUUGAGAUCCCAGUUGCCAGCAGGCGGCGCUGUGUCAAUACAAAUGCUUUCACCUGAAGGGAGAAGACAAGAAGUUGGGUUGAUUUACUGGAAUUCAAGCCUCAAAUACCGCCCCAGGACAAAGCGGAGGAAAUUGAUUUCUGAAGGCACUAAGUCUUAGACAAGAAAAGCCGUGAAAGGAGGCUGGUGGCAGCGGGUUGCUGGGCAGAAUUGGCCUGUGAGGAGGGGGUGACUCAGAGGAGGUCAAGAAGCAAGCUGUCCCAGUGAUGACUGAGACUGCCUUGGUCCUAAAACUAAUUCGGCUGAAAUUAUACAAUAAACCCAUUGUUCCAAUACUUCUCCC